CUGGAGGUAUCAGAAGUGCGAAUGCUGACAUAAGUAACGAUAAAGCGGGUGAAAAGCCCGCUCGCCGGAAGACCAAGGGUUCCUGUCCAACGUUAAUCGGGGCAGGGUGAGUCGACCCCUAAGGCGAGGCCGAAAGGCGUAGUCGAUGGGAAACAGGUUAAUAUUCCUGUACUUGGUGUUACUGCGAAGGGGGGACGGAGAAGGCUAUGUUGGCCGGGCGACGGUUGUCCCGGUUUAAGCGUGUAGGCUGGUUUUCCAGGCAAAUCCGGAAAAUCAAGGCUGAGGCGUGAUGACGAGGCACUACGGUGCUGAAGCAACAAAUGCCCUGCUUCCAGGAAAAGCCUCUAAGCAUCAGGUAACAUCAAAUCGUACCCCAAACCGACACAGGUGGUCAGGUAGAGAAUACCAAGGCGCUUGAGAGAACUCGGGUGAAGGAACUAGGCAAAAUGGUGCCGUAACUUCGGGAGAAGGCACGCUGAUAUGUAGGUGAAGUCCCUCGCGGAUGGAGCUGAAAUCAGUCGAAGAUACCAGCUGGCUGCAACUGUUUAUUAAAAACACAGCACUGUGCAAACACGAAAGUGGACGUAUACGGUGUGACGCCUGCCCGGUGCCGGAAGGUUAAUUGAUGGGGUUAGCCGCAAGGCGAAGCUCUUGAUC
rnacentral:rRNA from 1 species